rnacentral:lncRNA from 1 species
AUAUAUGUAUCAUAAGGAACCGCUUUAUUCCAGCCAAGCUCGGACUACUACCUCGAGGAUUAAACUGUGCUGCUAGUGAUGAUAUAUGCAGAUGAAAAAGAUGUGCAGAUGAUGAAGUUGAAAGUCAGGCAUGUGUUGUGCCCAUGCUAAUUCUCUCUCGCUGUGGAAGCGGCCGCCUGGCUGCGCGAAGCCAUCAUCUGGUGCUGUGUACAGCAAGCACAUGCUUCGGGCAAGGAGGGAGCCAGCACCAUAUCUACAUCAGCAAGAACCUCGGUGCUCAAAAUAAACAUUUUCUGUGCAAA